GACGAACGCUGGCGGCGUGCUUAACACACGCAAGUCGAGCGGUAAGGCCCCUUCGGGGGUACGACGAGCGGCGAACGGGUGAGUAACACGUGGGUGACCUGCCCUCAGCUCUGGGAUAAGCCUGGGAAACUGGGUCUAAUACCGGAUAUGACUCCAUGACGCAUGUCGUGGGGUGGAAAGCCUUGUGCGGCUGGGGAUGGGCCCGCGGCCUAUCAGCUUGUUGGUGGGGUGAUGGCCACCAAGGCGACGACGGGUAGCCGGCCUGAGAGGGCGACCGGCCACACUGGGACUGAGACACGGCCCAGACUCCUACGGGAGGGCAGCAGGUGGGGAAUCUUGCGCAAUGGGCGAAAGCCUGACGCAGCGACGCCGCGUGAGGGAUGACGGCCU
rnacentral:rRNA from 1 species